rnacentral:sRNA from 1 species
CUGCUGGUCCUUGCGGUCUACUCCGCCCAU